rnacentral:lncRNA from 1 species
GAAUGUUACAGGGGUGGUGAUUUAGCAGCCAGCACAAACUGCCAUCUAGGUUAGAAAGGUUUGUCAUUAAAGAUAUCUGAAUGUGAGGUGGCUUAAUAAACCUAGGGAGGUAUGAGCCUGGAGACAAUGGUGUGGCUGGGAAGGCAAUGGGGAAGCCAGACUUGGGAGGAGAACAUAGGAGUUUAGGAAAAAUGAGACCGAGUUGAGUCUUGAUUUUACUACUCAUGGUGGUGUGGCUAUGGGUGCAAGAUGUCAUUUAAACUGGAAUUUAACGGGGGCUCCGGAAUUUAAACUCAGGCUUUCCUGCUUGCACCGAACAAUCUCCCCAUCAGCUCUAUUUGAUACAACAUUUAUCAUAUUCAUUU